UGGGAUGCGAGAGCAGUCGCCGGCGGGAGGUAGUCGGACGUAGAUGGUGGAGGUGGCUGGUCAGGUGAGUUCGGGUGAAAGGGUGGGGAAUGCUUUUUUUUCCUUUUCCAGAAAAAUGAUCCCUGAAGAUGGUGGUCUCCCCCUUCCUCCCUUUCCGUGAACAACGCCCUGCUUUCUUUUCUUCUUCUUUUUUAUGGGAAAUUGUGUCUAUUUAAAGAGAGAGCGUGAAUCCCUAGAAAGAGCUUCCCUUUCAGAUCCGAAGAAGCCGGCCGUUACAGCAGAUGAAAGUCCACGUGCUUCCGUAAACUCGUAAACUGUGAACGAUAAUUAUUCUGUUCAAAAAUUAAUUUUUAAAAAAGAAAUUAUUUUUUCUAUUUUUGGAUGACUUCCUAAAUAAAGAUAACAACAUAAAAUUUUUGUUUUAGAAAUAAAAAUUCGUUUAAUAAUAAUAUAAAAUUUUUCCCUAGGUGGCUGCGAUGGUCAAGUGGAUAGCUAAUAGCGAGAGAAAGAGUUUUUAUUUUUCACUCUAGAAUUAGAGAAGUGAAACUUUUUAUUUAUAUUUCAAACCUAUUUAUGAAGUAAAUAUAAGAAAAUAAAAUAAUUUUACCAAACAGAUUUCUAUAGAAAAAUAGUUCUGAAAUAAAAAUUAGAAGAGUUAUCAUACAUGCCCUUACUAUCUGGUCAGAUUGUACAUUUAUCUCUCAUGUGUAAUAUCACUUUGUUCCUUUUGACCAUGACUUUCUUGAAUCACUUGAUGGUGAUAAUUAAAGAAAAACAUUAAAAGAAAAAACAAAGGAUAAUUUAUUGCACAUAUAAUUGCCGUGGAAGGUGCAUAUAAUUUAUGUUGUAUCCUUUUUUUUUUCCUUUCUUGACUUGCUUUCUCUACUAAUAAAGAAAUAGAAACGAAAACCAAUUAACAAUUUUGAUGCUUCGAUUCGAAAAGCAUAUUCUCCACCAACUAAUUUAAUAAAAAAAUUUGACAAAAAAAAAGUAUAAUAAAAAGGAGAUAGCAAUAAAAAUGAAUACCAAAGCACAUUCAACGCACCUGUAAUUUUCACAGCACUUUGCGGAAGGUGCAUGGAACCAUCAUCCAAUUGAGGUGUUUCUUGACUUGACUGGAUCUACAACCGGGGGUACAAGUGCUGGCAGUCAAUUGUAGACAGUAGGCUUUUCACGUGUCUUUAUUUAACGCAGAUGCGGGUGGCUAUUAUACCGGCCUACUUAGUGAUAGCCAAAGAUAAAUCUCUGAUGUGGUGUUUAUUUUCACCACCGUGAGGCCCCUAAUUUCAGCCUCAAUUUUUUUUUCCUGAGGAUGGGGGAAUAUGGGGUGACAUUCUCCCACCCCAGGGCGAAUCUCCCACUUGUUACUUCCCCAUAAACCUUUUAAGGACCUGCUUAGGUCCAAUAUUAAUAAAAGAAAUAUAAAAGAAAACUAGCAAUACUCCCAUGCCAAUACAUGAGUUGAUUGCAAAAACAUCAUUUGUUGGAAUAUUAUUUAUGAUGAACCAUCUAACUUUUUUCUUUCGAAAGGGAUUCUACAAAAGCAAACCCCAAAAUAAAUUUCCCUUACUUCUCAAACUAAAUUCUUCAUAUUUUAUCUUGCCUAAAGAUUUUUGAGUCAUCACCUCCUCAACCAAGUCACUUUGAUCUCACUUCUUAAAUUAUUUUUGUUUUUGACAUUUCACAUUUAUUUUUUACUUUUGAUGUUGCAUUUAGGAUUUCUUAGCUAAGGGGUAUCCACGAUCGAAUAACUAUUUAGGGAAUGCUUUUUCUUUUUUAUUUCAUUUUUGUCAAACCUUUUAUUCCAUGCUAACACUCUUUUUUUCUUAACUUUUUUAGUAAAUAUUAUCACUUAUUCAUCUGAAGGUGUUUGUCAAUAGAGAUUAAAUAUUAUGAAUCAACUAUACUACAAUAUUAGUUUUAUCUUCCAAUAAAAAUUGGAGCCUUACAACUUUGAAUAGCAAUGACGUAUAGAGGAUUCCUGAAAUGGGAUCUUCUGCUUCAACGUCUUGGUGAUAUUAUUUAGUGUAUGUACAGCUGCCUUUCCACGACGUUCUCAUGUAGGUGCUUUUGGACAUUUCUUGCCAUAAAAGGAUUGAGAAAGGUUGAGAUUUCUAUUUUGCAUGGGUCAUAGUUUGACUAGUGGAUGAUGUUGUGAGAAAUUGAAAUAUACGAGUGAUUUUGAGUGCUUUCCCUCUUUUUUUCUUCUUUUUUUCUCCUUUCAUAUCAAAUGAGAAAUACUAAAUCCUUUUACAUAAAGUUUGUGCAUUCUCUCCCGGGUUGAAUUACCAAAUUCAUCUGGUACUAUUAUAGUAUUUUGGUGCUCCAUAAAGGGCCUCAUGGAGAGUUGACAUGUGGCUCAUUUGAUGGUUGCCACCUCAUUUUCGUUUGCUUUAAUUUGUCAUCCUUUUUUUUUCUCUUCAUUUCCAGGAAAUAACUUAUUAACAAUACAGAGUACUUUGUCUAGAUGUGGAUGUUCAGUUGCAAGUGGGGAAAAGUCCAAAGUUCUAGCCUAGAAAAGUUGUUAAAGAAGCACGUAGGGAAAAGUAAGAGGGGGGCAAAGAGGAAGAAAAAAGGCCAAAAGCAGUUCACUUCCCUCAGAACUGCACCCUCAAAAAAAUUCUGAUUAAUCUGACACGGUGGGCUACCAGAAACAAUUUGGAGCGAAUUGAAUUGAAAGCACAUGCAUUAGUUCAAGGUAGGCCACACAUUACUUCUUCUCAAUAAGUAUAUCAAAUUGAACAAAUAUGCAUACUCGGAUACAUGUUGGGAGUUAUGAUUAAAAAAGGUAUCGUGUUCAAGCUCCAAAAUUAAUAAGGACAUAAAAUUAAAAGUUCAGGCUGGAAAUAAAAACUUCAAUUGCUAAAGCAUGGAAGUCAUUUCAUCAUUAUACAAGGAAAUAAAAUUAGAGACAACGUGAAUGUGGGAGUUGUAACCCACUCUUCGGCACAUGGCUGUCAAAUUACAUCAAUUUCUCGUGGGGAAAUAAGAUAGGAAAUUAUUUUGUGAUUGUGUAAUAGACACUAAAAACCGUCCAGCUUAUCUUUGACCAUAUUUAGACACCAGAAAUUCUCAAUCAACAAAAUGAUGAAAGAUACCAAAAAAAAAAAAAGUUCUUAAUUAAAUUAAGUAAGGAAACAUAGCAACGAAUCAAACAUUGGCUUGUUCCUUAUUAACAACAUGUAUAUUGAUCGAUCUUUUUUAGUAUAAUAGUUUUUGGGUCAUUGUGAAAAUAACGACAUGUGAGCACAAAAUCUUGAAGGAGUAGACCCCAUAAAAUUUUCUAAUUAUUUAUUAUUUAUUAUUUAUGGCCCAAAAGAGGCUGUCAAUCUCAUAUUAAAUAAAGAACAGUUACAUAAGCAAUUCUCAUUUUGAUUAAUCGCACCAUCAAUGAUGAUUUUUUUUUCAUUGGUUGCUUCAAAAUGUUCGUCCCUUGAAUCUUAUAGAGAUUCAAUAAACGCGAUUAAUUUUUCCUUCUCUUCUCAGGCGACCAAGGUUCUUGGAGAAUUCUUUCUUUUUUGUGGGCAACUGCGUGAUGCUAGGAAAAAAAAUGAUCACACUUAAUGAAUCAAUUUGUACAUCUCUUUCUGAUGCUAGUUUCCACGUUGAUCAAUUUAAACAUUUUAGUUUGACUUUUUAACACUCCUCCAUAGCAUGAGAUAUUGUUGCUUGAACCAUGUAAUACGUGCUUAGACUUUAUGACAUUAUACUUUACUUGCAUUAACUCAGUCCUCGCGGAAUCUUUCUUUGCUUUUCUGAUUAGUCAAAAGCUCAAGUGAAUAUUUGCUCUAUCACUUUCAGGAAAAAGGAAGAAGUGAAAUGAGGUAAGCUAGUUCGCUGGAGAGCUCACGUGAAGAGAAGUUCGUGCUAGCUUCACUUUAAGACAAAGACAUACAAAUUAUAGUUUUGAUAGCUCUCUCUUUCAUUGUACUCCGAGACGUAAAAUCUUUGCUCUUAUCAUUUGGUUAUAAAUGUAGUUUUCGAGCUAAUCACGUAAAUUUAUUGUGUAGUUUCUUGGCUCUUAAUUUUGUUUUUUUUAAGCCUUCUUGAUUGCACAAAGGUUUUAGUUCUGGGACUCAAUUUGCUACUUGUCCUAAAUAAACAUUGUUUUCUUGAUGAAAAAUUAUUUGAUGGAAUAUAACAUAGCACAUGGAUCUUACCGUCUUUUACUCGUGUCCGGCGGAUUCUGUUCACAAUGAGCACGGGAAAUUGCGAAAGUUGCUAAUGAAAUGUGGAUUUUUGACCAGUCCAUCAGAAUAAGACAACCUUACUCAGACCUCCCAAUCAAGCACAUGGCGCAAAGAAUCAAUAAUGGAGCACAAAGCACAUGAUGCCUAAAGAAAUAUUAUCAUCAUCUCCAAUGUUACACACUUCCCUUAGCCAAAAGAAUCUGGUCAAGAUUAGUUCAGAGGUUGUCUCACCAAUUGGGCCUUUGAAUAUUGUCAAUCAAGACAAAACAACAGUUGCCCGUCAUCGUGGUCAUUAAGUAAUCUCAUCUGGCCUGAAUCAUCUCAAGCUCCCUUUCCCUUUUUUAAAUAAAGCAAAGUAGUAGCAAAGUCGCCUCCACUCCUCGCAGAGAAUAAGUGCAAAAUGCUUCCUAGCAGGCAUGCACGCCAAUUUCCCUCUGAGUACGAAUUAAAAAGGAAAAGAAACACGAGCCGUUAUUAUUAUGUUUCGUUACAUUAUCUUCGAUCGAGCAUCUGAUUAAUUUUCAUUAAAUCAGAGUCCAUCUUGACAACUUCCAUAAUAACUAUCAACGCAGAGAUUUGCUUAGAUAGAUAUCAAACAUUUGGUACUAGAAGUGUUUUGGAAGGACUAAAGAUAGACUUUGAAUUUUUCACACGGGUAAGAUUUUUGUUUAGACGGUUUAAGCCAGUUGUUUGGAUUGGUUUUCUGUCAAUUUCUAAGGAGAUUUAUUCUAAAGCUGUGAAAUGAUGUCAUGCUAAUUUGAUCAAACGAUUUACGAGUCCUAUGUGAAUGAAACAUUGAUUAAUCUUAAACAUUAACCUGAGGAUGAUUUGAGGCAUUGAGCUGCCAGUGACACUAACCUGACUAUAAGAAAUAACAUUUUUGCUGAACAAGUGAGCCAAUUAGCUGGCAACCUAAUCCUUGAUAGUAUGAUGAAAUGCCGUAGCCCAAAAGAACAGGAUUUUCCGCAUGGAAUGGCCUUCACUAGGGUAAAACUUUUGAUGUCGAUCUCGAGGGUGAGACUACUAGAGUUCUAACUGACCGCCAACUUAUUGGACAGUCUACACUAAAUGUAUGGACAUCAAGAAGAGAGAAGUUUGGAUGAGUAAGAUUGACCGGGAUGGCCAACUCGAACCCGAGGGGUAUUGCCACCAUUAUCGUAUUAGACGAGCCAACGAAGUUGACUUAAGGACGAAAAUGAACAUGAUCCAUUGGCAGAGGCUCUCUCCACCAAGCUUGCUUUCCUUAUGGUUUCAAUUUCAUCAAGGACUUAAAUUGCAUUAUGAAAGUUUUUUAAUUAUGUUUUCCCCGUUUAUAUGUGUAGGGGGACUUUCUACAGUUGGAUUUACUAUUUGAUUAAUUUAAUGUGAUUUUGUUAGCAUAAAAAAGGAAGAGAUUGUUGAUCCUAAUUUAAUUCUGAUGAUUAAAAUUCUCACCCAAAUAUGUUAUUGAUUAUUUGGAAUUAUAAAUGUUGUAUUUAAGUUUUUUUUUUAAAGAGUUUCGAAAGGGUAAAACAGACCAUCUUUGAGUACCGUUUAUUCAGCACAGCUACCGAACUUUUGUCCAAGCAAUUCUAGAAUGCACGAAUUUUUCCAUUUGUGCACCCAUAAUUGAUGCACUAUAGACGUGGGAUCAGCUAACAUUCGAUUGAGGCCAUCCAUCACAAACUUAGUUUCUCAUUUCUGAUUUUUCAUUGUUGACACCUAAAUUUUGGCGAUCCGUUUAUUCAUUUAUCGCAUUAAAAAUAUUAGGGAUUAAUUUUAACCCCUAAAAAAAUAUAUUAGUUAAUUAAUUAAUUGCAUAGCAUAUAGAUUUAUGUGCAUUUGCAUUUUUUGCAUUUAUUGGACCGGUGGUGGAUGGGUUUGAAUUAGUGGUUCUGAGCUUUAAAUUGACAGGCCGGACUAAGCCCACAGAGCGAGCAAAUUGGCUCAGGCCCUUUUUUUUAUGAUCAGAAAUUAUCUUGUGAAAAUAAGAAUUUGAAAUUUUCCGAAAUAUGAUGGAAUUUUUCGGAUAGAGCAAAUGGAAAAACGAAUAUUACGUUCGAGAAAGUAAAUAUUGCAUUUGGAAAAAGAAUUUUUGUGGAUACCGAUUUGGAAAGAUUAAAAACCGUAAUUCGCGACCUAUAAAUAGAUUAAUUUGUGUAGGGUUUCGGAGGGCCACACAAUUGAGAACACACGACCGCAAAAAAGAGAAAACUCACGUUCUCCACGGAGAGAGAGGCAAUACCGAGGGGAAGACUCCUUUUUCACGAAGGUGGCGAUAGAGCAAAGUCAAAAUACCGUUCCAGCCGUCUUUUUGGCGUUGUGCAGCCUCAGUUCUUCAUCCGCAAUGCCUUGUUAAUGAGUGCUACCCUAUUGAGCUGUUGUCGACACCAUGGUUUGACGUGCCUGAGUUGUGUCGAGUUCCCCGAUGUGCUGCCCUCAUCACGUUUAAAGCUCUUGGUUUGUGGAAUCUCCAGUGAAUUGCUCCGACAGAUUGUAAUCUCAACCCUGAGCACACCACCAAGAGUUGUUUCAUCACGCUGAGAAGCAUCACCGCAAAAAAAGCCUUGUUGCGAUCCGUCACCGACUUUUGCCCAGUGAUCUCUCUGGGCUGAGCACCAGCCAGAAGAGCCGGACCACCAGUGGCUACCCUCAUCGAUGACCCCGGCCUCGACAACUCGCUACUCGGAUUGUGCCGUUGAAUUUCUUUGUUUUGCAGGCUGACUUGUGCGCCGGUGACCAGGUGGCCAUGUCCCUAUGAUUCUUGAGUAUAUCGUCCGUGAAGAAAUUCACUCGUGUUCACACUUCGGCGUCCAUCAAGUCACGACACUACCGGUUGAAAUCAAAGAAGAAAAAUACGAGAAUUCUCAAUGGAAUAUUUGAAUUCACGGCCACUCAUGAAAGUUCACCCUAAAAGUUAUAGCCAAAGGACAAACACGUGGGAAAGAAUUGGCCUCUGUGUAGCCUGAGGCGGUGGAAAUUUGGUUUUCGGUGGGAGAGGGGGGUUAGAUAAAAAAAUAUAUACAUAAGGGUGCAUGGCAGCAGGGGAAACGCCGACAGUAAGGAGAUUCGAGGGUUUGGGGUCUAAUUCUUUAAUCUUUUAUAUUGCGUUGGUCCUUGCCGCGCACUUGUUUUGAUUUUGCAGUCAACCGAGCACCACACCGUGAAUUACCAGCUCGAGCAUCCCAAGCUGAGAUGCCUUGCCGGCUUGCUCUGAAGCACAGUUGGUCAUCACGAACCGGCCGCCGUUCGAAGACCAAAUUUGGAAGCAAUAUUUGGGAUAGGUAAAAAUUGUCUAUUCUAAUUUCCGAAAAUUUUGUUUCCUUAUUUGAUAUAUUCAUUGGUGCACAUGAUGGAAAUUCCCGAUAUGCCAUGAUAUUCGCAACUCGAGUAGCCUCCUAAAUUAGGAAAUCUUCCUAAUUUCGCAACGUGCACAUGAUUGACAGUCCGAUUUCAUACUCGUAAUGCGACUCGCAAUCACACGGAAAAAUCGCCAAUCCGAUCUCCCGCUCGAGAUUCGAUCCGCGAUUUAUUUAAAAUUAGCCAACCCAAUCUCAUGCGCGGGAUAUGGUUUGCCAAUUUGUGGAUAUCGAUCAUAACUUAUCUGAUUUGCUGUCAUGUUGGUUGAAUUAAUUUUAUUUUGUUAAAUAAUAAAAUCCAAAAAAGGCAUAAAUUUAGGAUGUUAGAUUUUCUUUAAUUUAAAUUGCACGUUUAAUUAUGUGUCAAUCUUAAUUUCGAAUUUUAUAAAAAAAAAAAUACAAAAAUCAUCAUGCAUAUGUCAUGUAGAAUUAGGGUAUUCAUUAUAUGUCAUGGCAUAUUAGGACAAAAUUGCAUGUUCCAUUUAAGUUUAGAUUGAUUUUUUUAGAUAGACGGCAUCUUAGGUUAGAGAUUGCUAGGUUAAGAUAAUAUCUUAGUUUAAAUUAGGAUUUAGUCUGACAUGAUCCUUAAUAUAAGCUGGAUAGAAUCUUAAUCUAGAUAGAUAAUUUUUGCAUUUUUCUUAAUUUCGAAUUUCAUGGAAAAUACAAAAAUUGUUCGAAUAAAUUAGUUAAUUCUCUGGGAUAGAUUGCAUAUUCAUAUCAUAUAGUUUAGGUCAUUUAGUAAAUUUUGAAUUGCAUAUUGCAUGAUUUUCAUUAAUCAAGUGAAAAUAAAAAAAAUUACGUAUUAAUUAGAAAUCAUAUCUAGGGUUGUUGAUGUGGAUUCUAAUUUAACAUUGCAGAUGCUUUCGUUGCUUCGAGGUAAGUCUUGCAAUUUAUUUAUUGUUUUACUCAGUUGUUAAAUUGGUGAUUUGCGUAUCCGCAUGAUCACCUCAUAUGUUAGAGAAAUAGAUUUAAAACCAAUCAAAGCUGCCUGUAAAAAUGUUUUUUUUGAAAAUAAAAGAAUGUACCGAAAGGGCAUUAGAGAAAUCUAGUGUAACCAAAUCCUCGUACCCAUAAUUUCUGGUUCGUAGGAGUAAAGUAAACCUCCCAUUACUUUAUUUGAGUUUCUAAUUGACCCACCAAAAAUAGAUUAGUGGCGACUCCUAAUUGAAAAUCAAUUGUAUGUUAGGAACUUGAAUCCAAGUCGCGAAUUGGUAUGGGCUUGAGAAAGCUCGCGUUAAGUCAAGGCUUAACAAUCCAUUAGCCAAUUGGUCGUGACAUUCAUAAGAAAACAAAGUCAUGUCCAGUGUCCACAUCAUUCUUUCUAGCAGUAACGCAGAAAGAUAAAAUAAUCACAACUCCAGCAACGUUACCUUCUCAAAUGGUACAGAACCAGAACCUCACAUAUUUUCAAACACAAAACAGAAACUUCCCCCCGAUGCUCCGUUGUCUCUCUUGCGAUUUGUUAGGCUCCAUUAGAGUCUUCCACUAAGGACUGUUUUCAAGAAUUGACUUCAACUUUCCAACCAUAGUUGGAACUUCUAAACCUGUGAAGAACACGUCAUUACUAGAUCAACAGAAAAACGAACAACAUAAUAUGUUUGAGGGGAAAAAAAACAAAUAGAUAUCAAUGGAUUCCUACGAACAAGAUGAGAUUAUACUAGACUCGGCCUCCCAAUCACAAUAAGAACAAUUCUCAUCCUGGACUAAUCUACAAGACACGACUACAUUACGCCGAGAGACAACAGCAUUCCUUCCAAAAGUUUUAACAAUAGAUUGAAGGUCACUUUGCUUUGGAACAAGCUGCUACGUAUUUUAAAAAACAAAAUAAAAGCUCUAAUUUCACAAAACUAGUAUUCAGAACAUUUAAAUCUUGAAUUAAAAAAUGGGUUUGGUUUUUCUUGGGAGGAGGGGGUGGUUUAAAGCUGGAUUCAGGUAGGCAAAAUGACAAACAUCUGGUGGACGUCACCCAGUGGGGUUUCCUCGGACGAAGGUGAGAGGGGACGAGCACUGGCGGUAGGAGAUGAUCUUGUUCACGUAGUUGUCAAUGGCUUCCGAAGCUCUAAACUCUCAAUCCACGGCUAAGCCACUAUUCAUCUUCACGGAUGAUUUUCUUCCAUUCUUACCUCGUGGAAUUUUGGACUGUACAGAGCAGUCCAAGGGGACUCCAUCACCCUCGCUCUCUUGCCUCACCAUUAUCAUUUCCACCGUCGGGACUUCAUUAUCCCCCUUGUAAUCGUGACACAGCCUUCGUUCGAGCGCAAAGCAAAACUCACGACGUGUCAAAAAACGCUUUUGAAGAAGACGAGCGGACAGAGUACCGCGGCUGCAAAGGAGAGUUGCGACGCACGAGAGAUCGAUCGAGCUUCUUUGAAGUCAUCGGAAGAAAAGAGAGAGGAGGAAAUACAGACGAUGGACAUUCGAAGAAGAUAAAAAGGUUUGAUCCAACACCUGAUCUUCAACUAUUCUGAUUUGCUUUUUUUAUUUCCUACUGUUUUUACAGACUCGUCAGCGUUUACGAAGUGACGGAACAAGUGCCCACGUAAUCCGCCACGUCAACCGUCGCCUCAUUUUGUAUACCAUGAGGCAGUAAAAUUUUAUUAGCUCUGGCAUCUUUAAAAUAAAGUUAGGUUGUUUGAGAUUCAAAUUGGCUAUAAAAAGUGCAAGAAUUAAUGGCACAUUAUAAAACCAAAAUACCUUUUUAUCUAUCUUCUCAUUCUUUUAUACGAGAGAAACGUAAUAUACAGAUUAUCUCAUUUAGUAAAUGUAGCGGACGGAUAAUCUUUAUACAUCAUUUAUUCACUCAACUCAUAAGAUAACCACUAAAUCAGUUUUCCAAAAGUAUGGCAUUAUUAGAGUCAUGGAAGGUAUCGAUCAAAUACACCCUCGAACAUUAAGCAAGCUUGCUCUCUCAUAUUUUCGUGUUGAUCAUGCCAAACAAUACUUAUAUUCAUAUUGAGAAUUUUCGGUUUUAUGAUUUGAGUAAGAAUUAAGUCUAUCCACCGAAAUUCCGCAAGGAAAAUUUGAACAGCUAUCACCAAAUUUAGGUCUAGUACACUGCUCUUCAUAAUAUCAAAAGGGAAAGUAGAAACUAUAUAUCAUGCCUUUUGAUUGAUAAUUUUAAGCCAUAAUUCGCUUUAUAAUGUUUGCACCUAACAAUUCUCUUGGCAUGUCAAUAGUUUGAUGGCAAAGCUUGCAUCAAUACGGAUUUCGAAUUGGAAAUUUAGCAAGUAGACAUAUAACAAGUUCUUCUAGAGCCGGCCUCAAUCUAGUAUGUANNNNNNNNNNNNNNNNNNNNNNNNNNNNNNNNNNNNNNNNNNNNNNNNNNNNNNNNNNNNNNNNNNNNNNNNNNNNNNNNNNNNNNNNNNNNNNNNNNNNUUGAUAGAGACCGAUCUAAUGACAGGAAUAGCAAAUUGCUUAGAAAUUAAAGUGGAAGUGCUACAAGGAAUAAAGGAAAGCAAAGCAAAGAACACUAAACUCAAAGGAAAGAGCCGACUAAAAUCAACUGAAAACGAGACUACUACGACAUUAACAUUGCUGGAAUUGAAAUUAAUCACAGUUUGCACAAAAGACGCGCGAACGGAGACAAUGACAUGAACGUUACAAUGAUACUGGAAGGGAAAUCAGCAGUAAUUUUGGCAAGGUUCUGGUGUAAUUUGAACAUAUCUUCUUCCUCUGCAUCUCUUCUAUUUUUAGUUAGUCUUAAGUUCCCUUUGAUUAUUACUAGGUCGAUGAUCAUUUCUUAACUAAACUGUUUUCAUGUAUCCAUGAUUUCCUACCUCAACUGCCUUCAUGUAUCCAUAAUUUCCCAACCUAACUAAAUUUCCGAUUCCUGAGCAUUUCUCAUCAACUACCUUGUCUCGUUCUAGCUUGGUGAAGUUUAUAACUGUUUCUGCUUCUUUUGAAUUCGAAGUAGGUCAAAGACUCUCUUUCUCAAACUUCGGCGGAAUGGUCUUUCGUGAGCAUAAAAACGAAAUUGAACUUGAUACAGCUUGGCUUGUGAUUUUUUACUACCAACAUAUUGUUGACUUAUUGUUAUUAUUAGACGACAAUUCAGUCACACAACCAAAGCACAAAGUAAACCGAAGCACCAAGGGAAAAAAGAAAUCUCUGUCAUCAAAGGAUGAACCAUCAAUUCGCAAUAUAUGAUCAGCAGUCCAGAACGUAGAACGAUAACAUCCAAAUCACUCCGUCCGAUCUCAGAUUGAUCAACGACAAAGACAAAUUCGUUAUUAUCAUCUCUGAGGCAAAACGUCGAACAGGUGGUGAUCACUAAGGGCGAGGUGUUCUGCAAAUAGGAAUUCCCAUCAAUUGGCAAGGAAUAUAACAUGAGAAAUCCCUCUAAAAAAUUGCUAGAGCGGAAUCGACGAAUUCGAGACCAAAUAAUGGACAAGAAUUCGAGAUAACAAUUUGAAUCUCUCGGCAAAAGGGCAAUACAGAACAAUCGUAUGAUUGAAUCUCGAUGAAUCGACCGCGUCCUACCUUGGGGGAGAUCCGAUCCGAAUGGUUACCUGCUAAUAAAUGAAAGACACUCAAAAAGACUUGGAGAAUCUGACGAAAACAAAGCUAAGGCGACGAAUCGAUUCAGCGACGAAAUUGCUCGACGAAGAUAUUCGGCUGCAACUGGCUUCGACCGCGGGCGUGGAGACUGGAUUUGGUCCAGAGCGCUCAAGAUAUUUUUCUCGGUCUGGGUGUGUGUUCUUGCUUCGCUCGGUUCCUCAGCCUCUCCCGCACGCACCAAGCGAGGGAGAAAGAGCACGAGAGAAGUUUCGAUCGGUGGUGAUGAGCGUCCGUUCUCUGCUCCGUCACGGCCGAGGUUGCGGUUACCGGCGAGGGAGAUUUGACGGCGGCCGUCACCGAUCGGAGAUGGCGUAGACGAUCGAUUGAGGGUGAUGCAGCUGGAAGGAAGAGGCGAUUGCUCCGAACAGCUAGCCAGAGGAAUGGAAUGGGCCGGAUUAAGUCUCCGAAGUACUACCGAAUCGGAACGAGGCCUUUUUUAUUUUAUUUAUUUAUUUAUUUAUUUGUAUUUGGUUAAUUUUUAUUCAUCCAUCAUUUUUUAUUGCCCAUUUAUUUAUUUAUUUUUACAUAACGUCACAAAAAAUGCACGUUCGAUUUGUCGGCCGAAAUUCUAGGCGUCAACAAUUAGUAACAUUUUAAAGUAGCUAACUUUAUUAAUUUAAAAUGAGAGUUUACCAUUGAUAUUUUACUAGCGAUUGCGUUUUUAGAUGAAUAAACUCUACAUAAUCCAAUUAUGAGGUUGGCAGUUCUGUGAAAUUAAUUGACAGAUAAUCGAGUACAUGAAGUUCUGUAUAUUAUAUCACUUGAGAGUUAGUUAUAUAUGAGCUGCAUUUGCAUACAUUUUUUAUAUGGGCGCUAGCUAAAUAGGUGAUAAGUUGUCAUAGUUAUAGUUUCUUAUAUCCGAAAUAGUGAUGAAUCAUGCUGGUCGUUACAUCCUUAAUCACGUCCUUCAUGUUGUCUAUUUUACCAACCAUUUUUUCCCAUGAUUUAAUGAUUUAAAUAAUAUAAAAUAAGAUAAUCUUGACUAUAAUGUGACUAUUUUGCCAAUUUUGGAUUCUGCAAUAAAAUAUCUUUUACUAAGUUUUAUAUUUUGGUUUUUAUUAAAGGAGACUUAGGUUUUGUGCUAAUAUUGGAUAGAGAGAGUCAAAUGCUAACGGAGCUAUAUAUCAUAUAGUUCCGAAUAUUAUAAAGUCGCUUAAUAUGAGGUUAAAAUCAAUGAUAACCACUGUUGAAAUCCAAUUAACAGUUUGAUCCAAACUCACUUUAACAUACUAAUGAAAACUUAUCAAAAUCAAAAUGAUUUGUACAAUAUCGAAAUUGAUUCAACAACACUAGAUAUUAACAAAAGCACCAAGAAAGCGUUGCUUUCAAAUGGGUUCGAGGAUAUAACGUCGGAAUCUAAUCAAUAAUGCUAAAUAGUGGGAAUAACACCUAAUAAACACAUCUUCUAAGUGAAUAUGAGGACACAAUGUUAAAAUAUAAUCAGCAACGCUAGAUGGUGGUAACAACAUCUAGCCAAUAUUGUUCCUAGAUGAAUAUGAGGACACAACGUCGGAAUCUAAUCAACAACUCUAAUCGAUAAUGUUGGACGAUGGUAACAACACUUAGUGGGUAUUGCUCCUAAAUGGAUAUGAGAACACAAUGUCGGUAUCUAAUCAAUAACGCUAGAUGGUUGGUUAGUAUUGGAAUCUAAUCAAUAGCACUACCUAGGAUAUAGAUAUUUGUCGGAAUUGAAUCUACGAUGAAAAUCUUAAACUACAGCUAAACUAGACUAGGCUAACAUAAAAAGGUCAUAACGGAACCUCAACACGACUUUAAUGUCACCGAAACACGUAAUUCAAAACGGCAUCUACUCUAACAGAACAAGCACACAAAUGGAGUGGAUAGCAAACUAACUACGGCGGCCUCUAAUCGCGGGCUUCUCCAGCUGAAGGAAUGGCAUCUCCGGCGAAGCGUUUACGGCCGGACGCAGACGAUGAGAAAUAUGCCACCAAAAAAUUAAAGAAAACGCCGAUUCAGCGUCGGUUUAAUGAUUCAUAAUGAAUAUAGAGCACAAAAAAGUAACAUUUCCAGCAUCUCGCUAAAAUUGAAUUCGAUUUUUCAUGGAGACGUUCCGUCGAACAGUUCAUGUGCAGUUCGGAAUGCCACCUCUAGUUACGAGAGCUUGCUGCGACGAACGGCGACGAGCCAGUCGGCUUCCCCGGAAGGUCGCGAGGGUGAUGAUCAAGGCGACCACCGACGAGAUGAAAGAAUUCUCUCCUCUCGGUUUCAGAUUCCUCUUCGAAACACCUCCGGCUCCAGCCCUCCGAACCGAUCCCCUCUCUCUCUCUCUUCUUCUUCCUCUUUCGUUUCUGCUCCAUCCUUACCUUUUCAAGAAGAACAAAUUGAACUCCUAACGGGAAAGCCCAUGGCCCAUACGGCAUUCAUCUCCAUCUUCUUCGCUGGGCGAUCCUCGCUGCGGUUCGAAUCGCCGCGACUCUCUGGUGUUCAAGCGCCGUCUCCAGGCGGCGAAUCUCUGCCUCGCUCGAGCAUCUCUGGCGGCAUUGAUCGUUUUUCUCUCCACAGCGAUGGUGCAGAAGCAGCACCACAAGUCCAACGCCAAGAAACAGCCUCACUAACUGAUUUCCUUCGCUACUUAUGGUUGCAAUUUCCAUCUACUUAGGCACUCGUGACAAUUGCUUGCUCUUCGAUGAGGCGGCGUAUCUUGUCUCCGAAGAAAUUCGAAAGUUUCAAUUGCUGUGAUAAUCUGUUUGUUGCGGCGAGGCCUCUGAAAUUGAGCUUUCGUGGAGGUGUUUUCGGCUAAGUUCUUGGCUGGAGUAUUCAUCGGUGGUUGUUUCUAGAAUCUGAGUGGACGUGAAUGUGGUACGCGUUGAUGAACAGGUCAAAAAGCAGGGGAAGCAGGCGGAUAACACACAGUUCCGAGCUCAGCUUGAUGCGCUGGGCCUGAAAAUUGUCCAGGUGACUGCAGAUGGUAAUUGCUUUUUCAGGUCUGUGUUCCUUGUUAGAAAAAGAUCACCGUAUUGUUCAUGAUUCUGUUGAAUGUUUCCAGGGUUUGAUUUUUUUUUUGUUAGAUAACAGUAUUCCUCUCUGUUAUGGAAGAUUAUUGGUAUGCUCAUUGCAUUACCACUCUAUCGUCAGAACACAACACAAAGUGCGUUUUAUGGUACACUGGUUCUGGAACUCUAUCAUCGAUGUACUGGAAAUUCCUCAGUUGGAAAAAGUAUUGCAUUUCGUAUAAUGUAUCAUUCUGCUUGAGACACUGCAUGUGGAAAUAUAUCUUGAAGAAUAGCUCUAUUUGUCAGGGAAUGUAGCUCUUUUAACUUAGUCUCGAGGAUAUUAGAUUGACUCUUCCGUUAUCCAACUAAGUAACUUUGUAAAUUUCUGUCACUAUUGUAUUGCUAUUGUACAACGCCUAGAGAAACUAACCAUGUGCCUCAUUCCUGUUUCAUUCCACAUAUUUGAAUUAUCCAUCAUCCAGGUAAUCUUACAGCCUUGUAUGGAGCUUUUGUUUAUAGAAACGCCUUUGCUAUGGUUGGAAUUUUCAUAGUUGUCCACUCUUGUUAAUCAGGGCCCUUGCAGAUCAGUUGGAAGGCAAUGAAGAAGAACAUGGGAAGUACCGUAGUAUGGUUGUUCAGUACAUAUUGGUAUGUGGAGUGCAGAUUUCUCUUUUUCAAACUGUAGGAAUUAUGUUUGGGGAGGGGGGGGGGGGUUUACAUGGUGAUGUAGUCCUCAUUUGUACUAGUCCUCAGUGAUCCGAAUCUAAACUUUAUUUGGUGCAUUUUGUUCUUGAACUUUUCUGUAAGUAUUGAUGGAUCUCACACUUAUAUAGAUACUGAAAUAGCAUGCCUUUGGAAGAAAAAACCAAGUUAAAAUGGGUAUUAUACAUUGAAGCAUACAUUUCUGCUGCCAAUGGUUAUUCCUGGUGAUAUUCAGCUCACAGUCACAGUUGCAUAGAGCUAUAACAACACAAGGAUCACCUGAGCAAUUUGACAUUCUUAUUUUACUAGAGAGGAAAACCUUUUGAGUGUUAACCGUAAUUUGGAUGGUGUAUCUUGGCCUAAACUGACAGGUGCAGGAGGAAGCUGGACUUUUUAGUUACCCGCAUUGUUCUAGCCUACAGGAAUGUGCGGUUGCUACUUUAGGGUGCCAUUAUUAUGCAAACCGACAUAUUUUUGGAGGAGAUAUUGAGAAAAUAAAAAAUUAGAGAAUUGAUACUAAAGUAGAAUAAGUCAACUUUUUACCAUGCAUGAUAAAACUUUAAUGUUUUGCAAUGGCACAAAUUGAUAGUCUUGCUUGUUUCAAGUUUCAACAGAAUCCUUUAUUUUCAUUGGUUUUUUCUCAUAGUUAUGUGUUUAAGGAAAUAAAAUCCUCGUCUGAAGAAUGGACCUGAUAUAUGCAUCUAAGAUGGGAAUUGUUAAUGACAGAAAAAUCGUAAAAUGUUUGAACCAUUUAUUGAGGAUGAUGCGCCAUUUGAGGAAUAUUGCAAAACCAUGGACAAUGAUGGCACAUGGGCUGGUCAUAUGGAAUUGCAAGCAGCUUCUCUUGUUACACGGAGUAACAUUUGCAUUCAUCGGGUAAGACUGACAAUGAAGUCAUCAACCAUCACCUACGUGAAGUUUUGUUGGUUACAGUCUUUUCAUUCCUUCGGGAGAAACAUCCAGACAAAAUGAGAAUGUCAUUAGACUCAUCAAUUGUUAGCCUUGCUACUGGAUUUGAAGUUUUGCUGUUUAAGCAUGCAUCCUAGAAUUCGAUGACCAUUGAAGAAUCCAUGAUUAUUGGUUUCCAGACUCAUUGUCCACUUAAUCAUAUAACGGUUUUCAGAGAUAUAUUGCACCUUUUAGCACAAGGAGUUCCGAUGGGUGCAUAUAAUCCUAAUUCAAAGAAGAUUUAAUAUAUCGAACUUGUUACAAGAUUGCUGGCUUUUUGAGUGUUCUAUAUGUCCUUGAUGAAUUUACACAGCACUAAUUAGUUUUGAUACAUGCUGUGCAUGCAAAUAUCUGUUCGUUGACGCCAAAUGGAACAAAUUGUCUCACUCCUUACUUGAUGCAGAACAUGUCACCUCGGUGGUACAUACGCAAGUUUGAUCAGCCUGGUGCUCGUAUGAUCCAUUUGUGAGUUUUCUGAAUAUAGAGACUGAUGCUUUUUUUGCUAAGCAAGUGCUCAAAUACUGGGAUGAGAUUUGGCUCUGUUUGUAUACACUUAAAUAAAUGACCUUUUCUUACGUUUUACUUUCCCUCAAAUGAUUUGAAAAUAAUACAAUGUUUUUAUUUUUUAAGUGAUUAUGAAAAGAUUAUAUAUUUCUCCUGGUCAAGUUUUUUUAUUUUUAAAAGGUUUUAGGUGUUUUGAGUUUCAUAAAAGUCAAAUUGCAAGAGCUGCAAGAUCUUUUUUUUUUAUAAAUGAAAGCUAUAAGUACAAGUCGUCCAAACAAACCAGCUCAUUACACAAAAGAAGGUACUGCAGCUUGUUCAGGGAGACUGCUGAUUUGUGAAAUUAUUUUGGCAUGCAAGGACAACAUCUCAUAAGUUGCAGAUCCGAGUGUAGUUGCAGUGUUGUUAGAUUUAACCAUGGAAGUUCUUUUGCUAGUUUGAGAGACGUUUUGGUGUGGUCGGAGAGGGAUAAAUUACUGGCUAAGCAUAUGUGGUAGGAGAACAAAAUGUCACUUUAGCUUUUGUUUCUUCGAUAAAUUAUUUUAUUGAAAUUCCCAUUCAUAAUCCUUCAAUGAAUGGCAUCCCUUAAUAUUCUAAGUUAAGAUGGAUUGAAUCUGUCUAGGUAGUAGCCAUCGUGACCUUGGAUUGUCACGAGGAUCAUGAAAUUUGGUGGAUAUAUGAUAUUCCAUACUUUACUAUCUUCGAUAGGUGUCAUCAUGUGAAACCAGUAAGCAUAAAAAAUGUGUGUUGUGCCAUUAUUGUUUUGUGGAUAGGGAAAAUCUUAUGUUCUUUUUGUACUGAUGGUGUUUUAUUAUUUGAACUUAUAUAUUUUGCUUUGCUUUAUUAGAUCUUAUCAUGAUGAGGAACAUUACAACAGUGUGAGGUUGAAGGAAGACACUGGAGAUGGGCCAGCUAGGCCAAUUACAAUCAAGGUUGCUACUGGAAUUUAAUUCUAAUUUACUAAGUUAGUAGGGAAGUUGGACAAAUUGUGAAUUUAAGUAUGUGAUUUGAUAAUUUCUUUUGCUGAAAGGCCGAUUCUAAUCUCUCGUCAUCGUCUCGCCAAGCAAAAGCUGGGUCAAAGAAGUCUAAAGCAGGAGCUGGUAAGGAUAUUACUGAUGCUGGAUCCAUCAAGCUAGUCAUGGCUGGAAGUGGUUGUGAGAACAUUGAGAAAGUUGAGCAGGUUAUGUCCUCGCUUCUUCUGCUCGCUUGUUUGCAUUAAAUGCUUUCCUCUCAUUUGCUGGGUGUCUAGAAUUAGAAUACAAGACCUUUCUGUGGCUUCUGUGUGACAUGCGAUACUUUUACAGACAUUGCUGCAAAUGUAUGGGGAUGUUGAUGCUGCCAUAGAGUAUUUGAUAGCAGAAAAAGGUAUUGAAGAUUUUUCAGAGGAGGCUGUCCGGUCUCCCUGCAAUGCAGAUGCUUCUUAUGGUAAUGGCUGGUCAGUAUUUAUCUCUCUAGAUUUUCUUUAAUAAUUUAACUUCGCAUUUUCAGAGAUACCAUGUUGAGCUUCACAAGAAGCUUGUUUGGAGGUCAUUUUGAUGCAACUGGUAGAAUUACUGUGCUUUGUCUUGUCAACCAUAGAUUUUUGGGGUAGUCAAACAUGUUACACCCAAAACUAUUUCAUAAUUCUUUGUGGUUUUAGGUGAUGAUGCCAGUGGAAAUUCUGAGGAAUAGAGAGAGGAAUUUGUGGAAGGGGCCAAUAAAGAAAAUCCACCUAGCAAUAGCACUAAACGGACUCAUGAUGAUGGCAGUGCCCAGCGAGAAGACAAGGUUUCCACAAAAGAUGACUAUGUUACCUCUUUUACCAUUUUGGUUUUAGCUCAAACGUGAGAACUGUUGGUGAUGCGUUCCUUCAUUUUUAUUUGCUUGUUUUAUCUUGCAAUGCAGAAAAUUCCAAGAAACAAGAAUUGUCCAUGUGGUUCAAAAAAGAAAUACAAGUCCUGUUGCAGGUCAGGGACAGGGAAAGUCUCUGCAAUUUCCAAGUAUUUCUCGUUCUCUCAGUGCUUUAUAUGUUAAGUUAUAGUUUAAGCUUGUCUUUUGUUGAAGUACCUUUCCUGUUUCUGUGUGAUUCGAGUUCAUACGUAUCUUGAAAUUAUGGCUUAUGUAUCCAAAAUUGUAUCGUAAUUAACUUCAAGUCUGGACUAUUUUCUCACUCCUAUGCUUUGUCGAAUAAUGGGUUCACUUUGGAAAAAUGUUCAUACAUGAGUAAUAUAAAUUUGUACUUACAAGAACAAAGACAGCACUGAAGAUUUCUCCUUUUUUAUGUCUAAACGUUGUUUUGCAGUAAUCAAGCUCUUGAAUCCAGAAAAGGUAGAAAGGAAAAGAAGCGAGGCAAGGGAGGGUUUGACACAUCUGCACUUUCUAGUGGAUCUGAUGGAGGGCCACCUGAUAUGGGGGUUCUUUGUAUCUGAUCUUUUGUUAAAGUAUGUGCACCAUCAUCUAUUGAAUUUCAGAUAUCAGUACGCUGUCUUUCAAAUAUUUGAUUAGACACAAAUUUUUUUCUACUUCCAUUAGCAUGAAUUUGAUGCAUGCAUCUCUUUUUUGAUCUUUGGGAUAAGUGCACUUUCUAGUUUUCCACCUGUUGCCAACUUUAGAAAAAUCUAUAGGUACAAAAUUUUCAAUGGUGUUAUUUUUCUUGGAUAGUCUGCCCGUUUGAUGCAUUUUAUACUGGCAAUUGUAAUUUGGAGAUUCUUUGUACACAUAACUGUUGUGCAUGCAUAUAACACCUACCCUGGUAGAUUUGUUGGCAUUGGCAUAGGUGAGUUUGGUGAGAAGUCAAAGGGGAAGGAGAUAAGGAAAUUCAGUUAUUGCUGUCCCUGGGCUAAACCUUUUCAUGAAUAUAUAAGAGACAUCACAUGAAUUUGACAAGUGAUGGUUUAAUUUCUAAAUUCCCUUCCAAAGUGAUGGUUUUGUUGUAACCGUAGUUUGGGGUUCCCAUGAAGACGUCAUUCCUUUUCCUUUUAUUUCUUUGACAAAAAAGGCACUAAGCAUUUAUGCACACUUCUUGUAAUUGAUAAAAGACGGGUAAGAUCCAAAAUGCACUUAAGCUCCAUCUAUAAGGACCCAAAUGCAAUCCAUCUGCAGUUGGAGAUGACACAGAUAGUACAUAUGCUAGUUCUUCCAUUCAAAUUGGUGCAGAUUUCUAAAAUUAAACAACUUUGACUGACAAUUAUCUUUGGUUAUUUUGGAAAAAAAAAGUAGUAUAGAUCUUUUGUUGGUUUUCAUUGGUUGAUAUAUCAUCAUAACAUCAUUUAGACGAAUUAAGUCUCCAAACCUCCUAAGUGAUGGAUAGUGUGUAAAGACCAUGAGCACCUGCGAAGUUUUAGUAGUAGAUUUUCCAAUAAUCCCACAAUAAUCCUGAAUUUUUUCUUAUUGCUUUUGUGGAAUUGCAUUGUGUCAGAUGGGGCUUGUCGAGUUCUCAAGAAUCACAACAAUCUCGCGGCUUAGUCAUUGCAUCCAUGAGGGAGUGGGGAGAGAGUCGAAUUGUGAGCAGGAAACUAAUGCUGAAAGAAUCUAUAACUUGAGCUUCUUCCUGGAGCAACUUAUGAGGUUACUCAUUAUUUUUUCUUGGCUUGCCUCAAAUAUAAAUUUUUUCAUUCUCUAUUAGCUGCAACAUAGAGCGCAUGUUAGUCUGAGGUUAUCUUCUGUCUUCAAAGGCUGGUACCUUAUUAGUCUUGUAUACUACCUUGUCCCAAAAUGGGGAAAUAAAAGAUCCUUACUUCAUCUAACAGCUUAAUUGAACCUUGCAUGGUGAUGCUGCUCUAAUAACACAGGGAGUUCAGCAAUUUUUUAAGCUAAUAAAACUCUCUGUAGAUUCAUUAAUUCCAUGUAAGAAGUCAAAAACACAUGAUACUUUGCAAGAUUGAAUUGUGUGCCUUGUGAGGCCCAUUUUCACUCAAAUGGUGAUCCAACAUGUGGGAGGGCAUAAUUGCCCACUGAAUGUAGACAUCCCGAGAACUUUAAUGCGAUGAAAGCGUCUUCGGCUUGGCCUAUGCCGUGAUGUUCUGAGGAUGUCUAGGCCGGUAAGUGGACUUUUCCCAUCGUGUGCCAUUGUUGAACGAGAUUGGUCAACCUGCUUCUUCAUUGUCCUCGAAAAGGUGGUCUGUAAAAGCCAGGAGACCACACCUAGGUCCAUUCCAUGAGAUAAGUGUACCUAGCUAUUAAUUAAGUGUCUAGUAUAAUAGACUUUCUUAUUAAAUACUUAGAUAAGGUUCUGAUUUAAAGUAAUCGAUAUAGUUGUUAGCCAUGUGUUUAAGGUCUAUCUUAUGGUUAUGUUCAACCAUUUUGUAUUAUGAAUUGAGAAUUUUAAUAGGAAAUACAGGAUGCAUUGUUUUCAAAUCUUUGGUCCAUUGAUUUUGUAGAAUGGCUUUGCCCGGGUAAUUCUAAUUAGAGUAUAGAAGGGCCAGUACUAGAUUAAGGAUAGUUUACUUGGAAUAUAUAUAUAUAUAACGUCUUUUUGUAAAACGUCUUUGGCUGAUUUGCAAUCAAUCCUCAAGAGGAAUUUUUGAUUUAGUAAAUCUCCUUGGAAUUUUGAUAUAGAUAAACUAUAGCAAGUAUUUCUUUUUUGAUUGUCGAAUAAUUUUGUUGAGUGAAAUUCCAAUGUUUUGAAAUGAACUGAACAACUUGUUCUUUGUUGUUAUUGACUUGUUUGAGAAUACCGCCAUAUCCUAAUUCUGAGGCAUCUGUUUCAACUAUUUUGAAAGUGAAAGGGUCAGCAAGGUGUAAUCAUGGUAUAUCUUUUACAUGCAUUUUGAUUUGUUUGACAAUGUCUGUAUGGACAGAGGUCCAGGGUGGAGGAUCCUUUCGUAACCUUUGGUGUAAAGGUUUACAAAGGAUAUUUACAUUUGGAAAGAAAUCUAAAAUAUAAUUGAGACUACCCAAAAACCUUUAUAAUUGAGUUUUGUCUUUGAUCUCAUCAGGGAAUUUAUCGGUAAAAGAGAUUGAUCUUUCAAUGGGGGUUAUAGUAUUUAAAUGAAUGUAAUGACUUAAGAAUCUAAUCUUGGUUUUGAAGAGUGCAAUUUUAGUGGGAGAAACUACAAGACCAUUUUGUAUUAUUAUUUUUAUGAAAGUAGAUAGAUGUUUGAAAUGUUGUUCUAUAUUGGAAGAAAAUACUAGAAUAUCAUCUAUAUAAACUAUGAUAUAUUUUGAAUAAGGAUUGAAAAUCUCAUUCAUAAUUCUUUGGAAUUCUGAAGGGGCAUUUUUUAGGCCGAAUGGCAUAACAUUCCAUUCAUAUUGGCCAAAAGGGACUGUAAAGUUUGUCUUGUAUUUAUCCUUAUCACUGACCUGUAUUUGCCAGAAUCCUGACUUCAUGUCGAAUUUUGAAAAUAUUUUUGAUCUACAAAGUCUGUUUAACAAAUCUUUUUUAUUGGGUAUAGGAUAUCUUAUCCACCUAAGGGCUGUUUUAAGAGGUUUAUAAUUAAUGACUAAUCUGGAAACUCCUCUUUCAAGUUCAGCAUUUUUAUUGACAUAAAAAGCAGAACAACUCCAAGGUGAUUGGCUUUUUCUUAUGAGUUUUUUAUCUAAGAGAUCUUGUAUUUCUGCUUGACAAAAUUUCAAAACUUCUUGAUUCAUUUGUGUUGGGCGAGCUUUGGUAGGUAUUUUGUUUUCAGAAAAGUCAUGUUCAUAAGGUAAAUCAACGAUAUGUUUUUUUCUUUCCCAAAAGGCAUUGUCUAGAGUUGAACAUAUAGUUUUUUCUAUAUGUUUUUGUAUGGAAGCUAUUUUCUCUAUGAUGUUUGGUUUUAUAAGUACACACACGAUGCAGUAGGGACGUGUGGUGUGGCAAGCAAAUCAAUUUCAAAAUUUAAGCGUCAAGUAAGAGGAUUGGCAUUUUAUACAAUCGAUUUAAUUGGUUGGUCACAUCACUUUAGCCGUUAGCGAUUUGACUAUUGAAUAAAAUAAUUUUCUCAAACAAGGAGGUGGCCCCUCGCAAAGUUUUCAAAUGCUAGAAUUCCCAAGCUUGCGAGAGCUUUAGGAAACCUACUCCCUUUGAAGAAAUGAUAUUUAUCAUCACCUAAAGUUGCAAGGACUCUCUAGCAAGUACCGCUGUUGAUAUGCACUUUGUAGUUACUAAAGAUCCAUAUUGUCACUUAUGGGUUUGAUGAAGGAAUUUACCAUGCUAUUGGAUAAUUCCUAAGUGAUAGGAUCAUCGAGAGAUAAACUCUACAAUCAAAUUGCUAACCUCAAAAGAAAGAUACUAACUAGAGAUGUAGUGAUGAUAAUGAGGACUUCAUGGGACUUAUGAUUGUCGGAAAAAUACUUACGAUGUACAAAUAUUAUCAUUUACAAAUAAAGAGGAUAAAUACUAUAUCAAUGGAGAAUUGAAUAAUGAUGACGCUCACAAAUUAGCAAUAAUGAAAGGGAUGUUUGUGAUGCAAAGUUAUACUGCAAAGUUAAUAACCAUAUUUUGAGGAUUUUGGGUGAUUUACACUGGUUCUAGAAUAUUUACCGAGAAAUUUCGUUAUUUAUUAUGACCAUUUGAUGAAAUUUACUUUAUUAAUUUAAGUUUACUAACGACUAACAUUAACACAAUGGCAUAACAAAGAUUAUUUUUUUGGCAAUGAGCAAAGUUUAACAUACUGCUAUAAGGGAUAUGUAUAGAAACACAUUAGUUCCGCAAACCUUUUUGCUUCAUCUAUAAACUGCAUAAAAAAAAAAAAAAUUGAAAUUGCCCAAGUAAAGGAAAACAAUGCUUGGGGAGAUGAAAUAUGAAUACAAUUUGUUUAUAAAUAAGUACUUUAGAAGUCAUAAAAUUUGUUGUGAAAGUAUAAUCAAAUUCUAAGACUUUCAAAAAGUGAAAUGAAGUCUUAAAAUCUAUCCCAUCAAUACAAUUAAGUAUUUUUGUUAGCUCCACCAAAUCUGAGUAAUGAAAAAUAUUGACAUGUCAUUUAUUGAUAUGAUUUGACUACACGUGCUAAAGAUAUUUGAACCAAACAUGAAGCCACGUUCUACUAAAUUGAAGUAUCUUGUGUGCCAAGUCACCCUCUCUCCAUUUUCCAAAUCUAACAUUAGAGAUUGAAGUGAAUGCCAUCUCUUACUUCAACAACAAACAUAAAUGUCCCGAGGUAUCGAGAAACAUAUGCCAACCCCCAGUUUGUUUCGCUAGCUUAAUGAUUGCUUCUUUCAGAAUUGCACACCAGCACUAUUACACUCGCCUCUUCCCAUUUAAUCUAUUCAUUCUCGUUGUCACUAAUGUACUUGUACCUGUAUAAGUACUUGCCCAAGGACUCGUACAAGUCGUCGUCACUAAUGUACUUGUACCUGUACAAGUACUUGUCCAUGGACUCGUACGAGGACUCAUACGGGUACUCCAUUCGCAUGGCUUCCAUUCUUCGCUCCAUAUGGCGUGGGAGAAAUUUGUAGAAGAAUUCUUUGAGCUUCAUUUCAUAUAUUGAAGCUGGAUUCACUAAUUGCUUGUCUUCGAGCACAACUUUCAAAUCAUCAUCCAUUUGCUUGCAUCUUAGCACAUAUCCCAAUUUUUUUAUGGUUCCACCCGAUAUACUAAGUGUGAGGCUAAAUAGUAAGCAAUCCUCGUCAAAUUCAAGAAAAUCAAUAGCUCCCCCCAACACUCCCCAUAGCAUGUUCGGUUUGAGAUAUUGAAUCCAUGUAUGAUUCGAAUUAAAUGAACCGAGAGAUCCCGAUAGCCCAUUCCGUCUUUGGCCGUUAAGAAGGGGCACGAUGUCGAAAAAUAUUUCCUUUUCUCCAUCUUCUAUAGUGAAAACAACACAGAGAGCUAAUCCCCAAGAACUUAUCAUAAAAGUCUCGUGAAACCAUGAAAGAUAUGGUAUUGCCUUCAACAAUGAUGAACUCCUCUGGCAUAUCUCCUCUGGGAAGAAUAUCCAUGUAGUGAGGAGCAAUUUCAGCAUAGCGCCACUUCUGUUAUACCGAUAAAUUGUUAGACGUACUAAAGUUGAUAAUUAGUUAAAAUAGAAGAGUUUGAUUUGAGAAUUUUUCUAGUAAUUUAACCAAAGCUAGAAUUUUCGUAAUAAUUAAACAUAUCGAUCUUUCCUUGCCUUAUAUUUAAUACUCAGGAAAUCAAUCACUUCACUUGCGAGUAUUGUCGUAGCACAUGGUGCAGAAUCACUCUACGUUAGAUUUACUUAUUUGUAUAGAAUUUUCAGUUUUUGCGUUAUACAAACACAGUGCGCCUGACGUACACUCCAACAAGAAAUCAACACAUGCACUUAUGAAUUCGCACGUAUCCCCAAGGGCCGGAGAGAGAGAGAGAGAGAUAGAGAGAGAGAGAGAGAGAGAGAGAGAGAGAGAGAGAGAGACCUCAACUGAAAAGUCAACCAUGAUAUCAGCGGGCGAGGAGUCAUCUAUACCGUCGCCUUCUUCUGAGCUUGUUUGGUAGUUGUCUUCAUGGUUUAUCCCCCGCUAUUACAUAUAGGUGCAAAAUCACAAUAUAUUAGCUUGUUUUGUUUACUAGCAUCUGCAGUUUUGCAUUAUAAAAACACAAAGCACCCAUAUCAAUCACACACACACCCCAAUCGCGGAGAGGGAGAGAGAGGGAGAGACCUCAACUGAAAAGUCAGCCAUCAUAUCGGCGCGUGAGGAGUUAUCCAUAUCGAUGUCUUUUCUUUGUUUUUUCUGGGGUCGAAUAUCGUCGUCUUCUUCUGAGUUUGUUUGAUAAUUAUCUUCAUGGCCUACACGCCACUGUUAUUUAUAGGUGCAAAAUCACAAUAUAUUAGCUUGUUUUGUUUACAAGCAUUUGCAGUUUUGCAUUAUAAAAACACAAAGCACCCAUAUCAAUCACACACACACACCACAAUCGCAGAGGGGGGGAAGGGAGGGAGGGAGAGACCUUUUCCAGAUGUGAGAGAUCGGCCGAAAUUUCUUCCUCACUAGUCGUUUCUUCAUCGUGAAGCGGAAUAUGAUAAAUCAAACUUGGAUCUAACAACUUGUAAUCUUGAUUCAAAGCCUCCGAAUCAUCCUCUAGCGGCUUGCAUAUUAAUCGAAAUCCACACCUUUUUACAAUUGCACCAUCCCAUGCUUUAAUGCCUAACUGGAAAGAACUUGAGUCAUUUGGACCAAAAGGGUCAACUCCCCAUAGUCGCUCCAUUGCAUGCAACUGGAUUAACACAUGAUCCGAAUGCAUUGUGGGGAAACUUAUUCGCUCGAAGUACGUAUCAUUCCGUCUGCCAUUAAUGUAUGGAAUGAGCUUAAAGUCCUUUCGGGUCCCAUCCUCUACUUCUUCCUUUACUCGAAAUACAACAGAGAUAGCUAAUCUUAGGAACUUCUCAUACAAAUCCUUCGAAGCUGUGAAAGAUAUGUAACCCUCAUUAUUCAGGAGUAACCAUUGUGGCAUCUCUCCUCCAGGUAGAAUAGUUUCCAAAGAGUAUGGGUAACCCGUUUCCAUAAACUGCUGUCGUAAAAGUAAAUUGUUAAGAUAUUAUUUUGAAUUUAACACUCGAAAAAGAGGAGUUUCAAUGAGUCAAAUUUAGCUACAAUUAGCAAUAUAUGUACACGACUUCGUAUUAAUCAGAGAGGGAGGGAGGGAGAGUCUAACCUUAUUGCGGAACAUAUCACAAAAUAAUCGGUUAACGGACAAUAUGUCGGAGGGAAUUUUGCUUAGAGAUUCAUAGCGUUGGGUGCGGGUGANNNNNNNNNNNNNNNNNNNNNNNNNNNNNNNNNNNNNNNNNNNNNNNNNNNNNNNNNNNNNNNNNNNNNNNNNNNNNNNNNNNNNNNNNNNNNNNNNNNNNNNNNNNNNNNNNNNNNNNNNNNNNNNNNNNNNNNNNNNNNNNNNNNNNNNNNNNNNNNNNNNNNNNNNNNNNNNNNNNNNNNNNNNNNNNNNNNNNNNNNNNNNNNNNNNNNNNNNNNNNNNNNNNNNNNNNNNNNNNNNNNNNNNNNNNNNNNNNNNNNNNNNNNNNNNNNNNNNNNNNNNNNNNNNNNNNNNNNNNNNNNNNNNNNNNNNNNNNNNNNNNNNNNNNNNNNNNNNNNNNNNNNNNNNNNNNNNNNNNNNNNNNNNNNNNNNNNNNNNNNNNNNNNNNNNNNNNNNNNNNNNNNNNNNNNNNNNNNNNNNNNNNNNNNNNNNNNNNNNNNNNNNNNNNNNNNNNNNNNNNNNNNNNNNNNNNNNNNNNNNNNNNNNNNNNNNNNNNNNNNNNNNNNNNNNNNNNNNNNNNNNNNNNNNNNNNNNNNNNNNNNNNNNNNNNNNNNNNNNNNNNNNNNNNNNNNNNNNNNNNNNNNNNNNNNNNNNNNNNNNNNNNNNNNNNNNNNNNNNNNNNNNNNNNNNNNNNNNNNNNNNNNNNNNNNNNNNNNNNNNNNNNNNNNNNNNNNNNNNNNNNNNNNNNNNNNNNNNNNNNNNNNNNNNNNNNNNNNNNNNNNNNNNNNNNNNNNNNNNNNNNNNNNNNNNNNNNNNNNNNNNNNNNNNNNNNNNNNNNNNNNNNNNNNNNNNNNNNNNNNNNNNNNNNNNNNNNNNNNNNNNNNNNNNNNNNNNNNNNNNNNNNNNNNNNNNNNNNNNNNNNNNNNNNNNNNNNNNNNNNNNNNNNNNNNNNNNNNNNNNNNNNNNNNNNNNNNNNNNNNNNNNNNNNNNNNNNNNNNNNNNNNNNNNNNNNNNNNNNNNNNNNNNNNNNNNNNNNNNNNNNNNNNNNNNNNNNNNNNNNNNNNNNNNNNNNNNNNNNNNNNNNNNNNNNNNNNNNNNNNNNNNNNNNNNNNNNNNNNNNNNNNNNNNNNNNNNNNNNNNNNNNNNNNNNNNNNNNNNNNNNNNNNNNNNNNNNNNNNNNNNNNNNNNNNNNNNNNNNNNNNNNNNNNNNNNNNNNNNNNNNNNNNNNNNNNNNNNNNNNNNNNNNNNNNNNNNNNNNNNNNNNNNNNNNNNNNNNNNNNNNNNNNNNNNNNNNNNNNNNNNNNNNNNNNNNNNNNNNNNNNNNNNNNNNNNNNNNNNNNNNNNNNNNNNNNNNNNNNNNNNNNNNNNNNNNNNNNNNNNNNNNNNNNNNNNNNNNNNNNNNNNNNNNNNNNNNNNNNNNNNNNNNNNNNNNNNNNNNNNNNNNNNNNNNNNNNNNNNNNNNNNNNNNNNNNNNNNNNNNNNNNNNNNNNNNNNNNNNNNNNNNNNNNNNNNNNNNNNNNNNNNNNNNNNAAAGAUUGAGAGAUUCAAGAUUCUUGGGUUGGAGUAUAUCGGGGAGAUGAUGAAGGUUAGAGCAACCUUCUAGAUUCAACAACCUCAACUUGGCAUGAUAUGCAACUGAUUCGUGAGCACGCUCCAAAUUUUUGCACCCAUUGAGAUCCAAUUCCUCGAGAUUUGGAAAAAAAUCGAGGUUCGGCAUACAAAACAUGGCCAGACAUUCACGGAAGUAAAGGAACUUCAAAUUUUUAAAGUCCUGCAAGAAAUAUCCACGUGGAAAGAAAAUGAAGAUAAAAAUAUUUAAUGAAAAACACUUGAUCAUCAUUCAAGACCCGUGUGAUCAGAAAUUAGUUGAUCAUAUGGUGUAUACAGAGCACUCCCACUCCCUUUUUAAAUAUGAGUUUAUUAAGUGAUCCUUGGCCAAAUGUGAAGAUUAAAAAAAGAAUAAUACUCGUAAUUUCACCACACACACACUAAGCUCUAUCAAGCGACACACAAGAGAAAUCAUUCCAAUGCUAAGUAGCAUGGCCACUUCCACUAUGUAUAUGUUUAGAAUCAAUACAUGUAAUUCAAAGAGAGAGUGACCUCAAGUGGGAGCACAUGAGCGAGCCAUGGUCAAAUCCUUUGCCAGCUAAUUCAUGACAUGAAUUUAAGCUAACAUAGGUGGCACUUGAUGGACCUACAAUCUUUUGCAGAGAUAUGCAAACCUGCCAUAAUUGCGGUGGAAGCUUGGGAAUCUCUCGUGUCAUCACUUAUUAGGUCAUGGUGCUUGGUUGAUCGAUUUUUGAGAAUCACACAUUUUGUUGAAUGUAGUAGACCCUUGAUCCGUUAUAUGUUGCUGAAUUUUAUAUUAGUGAAAUUGUGCACCCACAUGGUAUUCCAAAGACAACUCCUUACGUUGUGUAGUGAAUGCAUCUUUUAAGUCCUUUGGAUCUUACACCAUUAUCCACCACUAAUAUGGAGAAAGAGCUAAGACAAUAAAUAAGUUACGUGAGGAAGUGAGGAAGAGAAGUCCGAAGCAAAAUGUCAAAUAUCCCAGUCAAGCCAGAAAAGAAAAAAGAAAAAGAAAGAAAGAAAAGCCUGCUGUUUUUAAAGAAGUUGAUCUUGUCUGGAUUCAUUUGAGAAGAGCGUUUUCCACCUAGUCGUGGUGCUACGGACGGUUCUUUUCUAGUUUUGGAACACAUUGAUAAUAAUACCUGCAAAAGUGAGCUUUGUGGAGGGAAUGGUGUUUCCACUAGUUUCAAUGUUGCUGAUCUAUUACUAUGAAGUUAGCUUCGAGGAGUCUUUUCAAGAUUUUAAGAUUCUCUCUUGUGAAUAGAAUAAUAGGGAUAAAAUAUAUUUCUUGAUCAGUGAGCCUGUUUUAUACUUUUUAGGAUUGUUUUAGUCUCGAUUCAAUGUGAUAAUAUUGUACCUUGUUUGAAUUUUGUAUUUCGGGUUCAUUUUUCUUUACUUGGAGAUUACUCAAAGGUACAGUAGGCUCCUACUUAUAAGUGUCCUCUCGGUGUCUCAUGGUAAACACAAUUAAUCUAUUAAAUGAAGUUUCAUUCUAUCUUUUCUUUGUCUUUCUCUCUGUCCUUUUAGGGGAUUCAUGAGUGAACGAGAGAGUGCUGCAUCCUUGGACUGGCCUGCAAAGGCGGUGAUUUGGCCAAGGGAGACCUAGUGUAUGUUGUCUCUUUCCUAUCCUCCAUAGGUGGGGUUUUUCCACUUCAUUUAGAUUGAAAAACCCCUUCUAUUUAUUUGUUCGCUCAACACAUUCCGGCGUCAAUGUGGCCGACAAGCAUGACAGCAAAAUUGAAAGUCCAUGAAGUUUGUCUCUUGUGAGGCAUAGGAAGAGAAAACUAAAAGAGUAUGCACAAGAUUUGGAAAAAAAUUGAUACUGAAAAAUUGAGCAAAACCACUAAAUUAGAAAUAUUUAAUGGAAAGAAAUUGUUGGUAAACACACAAUACACAAACAUAGAAUGUAUGUAGGAUAUUUCUAGAUUAAAAUUUGCAAUAAGAAAUUUGUUAUGGGAUAGAAAAGAUUAAAAUUUAGAUUGUGAAACAUGUGAGAGUUAAAAUAGACCAAUAGUUUAUGCACCUCUCAAUAAAUACAAUAUUUGUAAAAUAAGUAAUCGAGACAUUUUGGGGAAAGAAUUAAAUUGAAAUCCUGCAGAAGGUCACCUUUACUUUGUACAGUAGUAUUUAUAUGAAUAUAAAUAUAACACAUAUAUACAUAACUUAAGAUUCGAUUUAAGUUAAAAUAUAUUUAAUUAGCAAAGCGAGCCCCUUACUUCUCUUUAGAAAGCCUUAUUAGUCAUGUGUGAAAGCCAUUACUCGCUACCAGCAUCCUAGAUGUGGUGCGCUAGCUAGAUGUGGUGCGCUAGCGCGUCUAUAAACUAAGACUCUUCCAUGGAAUUGUACUCCACAAGCUUUUAUUUAAAAUAGCGGGAGAAGGAAUGGCUGGUCAAUCUAUCUCCCCUGAGAGUUGCUUUUCAUCCUGUGAUUUCUCACUUAGGAAUAAAUGGAGUAAGGGCGCAACCGAAUGGCCCGAUUGAAAGGAAAGGAGGGGAACGUGUUACAUACUUGGAAGGAGACGGAGAAACUCUCAGUUAUAUUUGAAAAUGAAUAUUUUAUCCAUAAAAAUGAAGAUAACUUUCUUGGAGUUCUGCUUAUUCCUCCUCCUAAAAUUAAAGAAAUACUUGCUAGAAAUCUAUGGUUAGGUCGGCACAAUAAAAAGAGACGGGACUUUUGGGGCUGACUUACAGUAAAGACUCAACUCCUUUAAAGAUCCUUUACUACACGAUUUCUACAUAUCUCCUUUCAUUAUCGACUGCAUUCUAUUAUAGAAACAACAACGGGAGGUUCAAUCAAAAGUACUUAGCGUGCAUUCGCUUCAAUGUUAAAGCAAAUAAGCAAGAAAAAUCUCAUUCUAUUUUCAUAUGUAAUUUCAAAAAGAAUCUAGUAAACUCGUCUCUUAUAUAAAAUAUAUAAUCUUUGAUAGUAUUUUUAGUAUCUAUCAUUUCAAAGGCACACAAAUUGAAUCCUCAGGCAGUUCAUGUUUAUUAAAAUACUAAGCACGUUCACCAUUCAAUUGUUAAAUUAUGUCACCAAUAAGUUCUUGUUCCAAUUUUCGGUAUUAAAGUUACUGACCGUAUAAACCCUUUUUUUUUUUUAUAAUUUCGGUACUUCUAACAUUUGAAAAUGAGAUAGAAUUUUUUUAGCAAGUAUCUUUUGUUCGAAUCGACAAUAAAAUUCGCAUAGAAAAGUGUUUAAUACUCCCCUAAAACGGGAAGAAUUUAAUCAAAUAUAAACAAUUUAACAGAUGCAGAUAUUUCUUAAGCAUAAUUAACAAGCAUCAUCAAAGUUAGUAAUUGUUGCAUCCAAAGUUUUCUAUAAGACAUGCAUAUAUAUAAUCAUAAUCAUAUGCAUACGGAUAUAGAUAUGUAAGAGAUAAGCAAAUAAGGACAAUUCAUUUGAAUGCGCACCUUAAAUUGGUCUACCAUGACUUCAAUGUUGCUUUUGCGCAGAUCAAGUCCAACUAACUUCUUUGGGCCAGAGGGAAAUUCGAGAACCCCAAAAGGACAUUCAGGCCAUUCAAGCCAUCUCAAUUUAUUAGGAAGAUAGAUACGAUCUUGAAAAGAGAUAUGCACAUUAAUCAUGAUGAGCAACCUCAAGCUUCUCAUGUUUGUGGAAGCAUUGGGACUUAUAAAUAUUGCUUCUGCAUCGGGUAAAAUCAAAACUAUGGCUUUUACUGCAUUUGUUCCCUACAUUUAUAGAACUUGCAUUGCAAUUAGUAUAUGAAGUCAGAGAAGAAGAGAGUAAAAUCAGUGUUUAAACCACCAAAACUUACCAUAUCCCCUGAUAGAACAUCACAGACAUCUUCACGGAGCCAUAACCUGCUGCGUCCCCUAGGAUCAUCGCAACAUUCUUGUUUAACAAUAUCCAUGCCCAUCAACUGAAUCAAGUCAUGCAUCUGUAUUGUCGCCCCAUAUUUAGUUAUUAAGGACUUCUCAACAAGAACUUCUACUCCAAUCAUUGUGUCAAAGUCGCAACUGUCAAGGACUUUUAUAAUAUACUCCAUAGAUCGCCCCUUGAAGAAACAUGCAAUAUCAAGGAAUAUUUCCUUUGCAUAGUCCUCUAGUCCAUCGAAACUUAACUUGAGAACAUCAUUGAUGUCUUUGUCAGGAUUUUUGGCAAGUUUACUCAAUGCGCUUUCCCACUGCUGUUCUGUUCUACCACAUAGGAAAGAGCCCAAUACCUCAAGUGCUAAAGGAAGUCCAUUAGCAUAUUGCAAAGCACUAUCCACAAGAUCCCUCCUCAUCACUAUUUCCUCACUUCCAAAAAGAACAUGUUUAUUGAAAAGUUCAAGAGCUUCCAAAUCAUCUAGAGUUUUAACUUCAAAGAUAUGAUCUUCAUCUAUCCUAUGGAAAGUUAAUAGAUGUUUAUCUCUCGUAGUAAUGAUGAUUCUGCUUCCUUUACCAAACCAUUCACGCCCUCCAGCUAAAGCAUUUAAUUGUUUUACGUUAUCAACAUCGUCGAGAACAAGGAGGACUUUUUUGUGGCAAAGUCUACGUCGCAUCAAAUUAAUACCUCCAUCAACACUAAACACUGUCAAUUCUUUUCCCACUAAUAUCUCGGACAACAAUUUUUCCUGCAAAUGAACAAAAUCCUUGGAAUCUUUUGAAGUUUCACGAACGUUUGCCAAAAAACAUGAAGCCUCAAAUCCCCUGAAUAUAUCAUUAUAAAGGGCUUUGGCUAAUGUUGUUUUUCCUAUGCCUCCUUGUCCCCAUAAUCCUAUCAUGACAACAUCAUCAUGAGACUCAAGAUUUAACAUAGAUUCCAGCUUUACCACUUGUCGAUGUAUUCCAACUGGAUGCUUGGCAACAUGUAACGGUUUUCGGUCCAGCAGCUUAGAGAUCUCCCGCACAAUUCUGUUGAUAAGAUCUGCUUCAUCUCUGACAAAAUCCGGAAAGGUACUAGAUAUAUCAAUUUCCAAAGAUAAUUAACUUUCAUGGAAAAAGAAGAAGAGAUUCAGCAUAUAAAAAAGAAAAAAACAAAGCAGUGUCACAUCAAUCACUACUUAGUACUUACUUAUCCUUUAAAUCCCACCCAGACAAGUUACCCGCAUCAAAGAGAGCCUUCUCCCAUCUCUUCACUUUCUCUGAAUCUCUCCCAAACUUGUUCUCAUGCUUAACCAUAGCUUCUCGGUAGCUCCCUCUUGGCGUUCUCACUUCUCUAGGAUCCACUUUGUAAAACACCGAAAAUACCGUGAGUCCUCUUUGCUCCUUGCACUCCAUGAUUUUGUCCACCUCUUCCAAACACCAUGGCGAGGAUGCAUAGCCCUCAGAGAAAAUGAUGAUCGCGAUGCGCGAGUCCUCAAUCGCCUUAAUAAGCGCUGGUGUUAUUUGUUCGCCUUUCUGAAGCUCCUCGCUAUCGACGUAAGUGUAGAUUCCUUUCUGGUCAAGAGCCGUAUAGAGAUGACCAAGGAAGUUGUUUCGAACGUCAGUACCUCUGAAACUCAGGAAGACGUCAUAAUUCCCUUUCAGAUCUGAAGAAGCAGCCAUUAGAGGAGAUGAAGUUUGAUGUGCUUCCUCAGAAUGCUUAGUGUCUGGUCGGGUUGCAGCUCUAUCUCUCAUAUGGAUAUCGCUUUGUACUAAUAAAGAAAUAGAAACGAAAACCAGAUCAUUUCUCAUGCUCCAAGUCGAUAACCAUAUACUCCACCAACUAAUUUAACAGAAAGCAGCAUUUUGCAUAAGGUGCACGGAACCAUCCUAUAUAGGUGCUUCUUGACUUGACUUGACUUGCCUUUUCCAUUAAUAAAAGAAAUAGAAAAGAAAACUAGCAACACUCCCAUGCUCCUGGUGCUAAAUUGCUAUUAUACAUGAGUCAAUCGCAAAAAACCGCUUGUUGGAAUAUUAUUUAUAAUGAACAAUCUGACUUUUUUCUUUCAAAAGGGAUUCUACAAAAGCAAAUCCCAAAAUAAAUUUCCCUCACUUUUCAUACUAAAAUUUUCCAUACCAUGUCCUGCAUUGAACAGAACAAAUUCGAAUCUGUUCAGGCAUUUCUUCAAACACGUAGUGGGCAGCGAGUUGGAGAGCGAAUAUGGAUCUAUUCGGAGCUCGAGCUCACACUUAAACUCAAGAGAAAUCAGCGAGCAACGUUCAAACUUAAGAAAAACCGACUCAUUCAGAUCCGACGCGAGUGAGGACUAAAGAAAUCGAGCUUGCUUUGCUUUGCUCUUUUAAAAUCAAGCAGGACGAGGCAAAAAAAAAAGAAGGAACGAGAACUCAAUCGUGGGGGCCCUACCUGGCUUGGAUUCCGUGGGCAUCGUCGGCGGCGAAGGUUGAGAAUAGCGAUUCCAAACUCGUGUCAGGCGUCAGUCGACUCCACCGAGGUCAGGGACGGCGACGACGAAUGGCAGCGGGCGGAGGAUGCUCUGGAGGUGGCGGACGACGUAGAUCGGCUGUGGCUCUGAGGUUUUGUGUGGGGCUUCAAUGGCAACCGUUCACGGAGUAGAGAAAGACCAAGAUGCUUCUUUUUUUUCCCCCCUUUUUCGUGAGAAGUAAAGAAGUAGGUGACAGUGAAGGAGUGAGGUAGGAAUCCGGGAAUGUGAUGCGAGAGCAGUCGCCGGCGGGAGGUAGGUACUCGGACAGAGAUGGUGGAGGUGGCUGGUCAGGUGAGUUCAGGAGAAAGGGUGAGGAAUGCUUUUUUCUUACUUUUCCAGAAAAUGCUCCCUGAAGAUGGUGGUCUCCUCCUCCUCCCUUUUCGAGAACGCCCUGCUUUUUUUUCCUUUUGAUGGGAAAUUGUGUCUUUUAAGAGAGAGCGUGAGAGAUCCCUAGAAAGAACUUCCCUUUCAGAUUCGAAGAAUC
rnacentral:lncRNA from 1 species